rnacentral:lncRNA from 1 species
CAUGGACAGGUGUGCCUAGGUGUGGCUCAGGUGUGUCACAGGUGUGUCACAGGUGUGCUCAGGUGUGUCACAGGUGUGUCACAGGUGUGUCACAGGUGUGCCCAGGUGUGGCUCAGGUGUGCCCAGGUGCGCUGUGUGCAGAUAGAGACAGCUGUGCUCACCUGUGGAGGGAGGAGCUGCGACCUGGGGUUACCUGGGGGUUACCUGGGGUUACCUGAGGAUACCUGGGGUUACCUGAGGAUACCUGGGGUCACCUGGGGUUACCUGGGGAACACCUGGGGGUACCUGAGAAUACCUGGGGUCACCUGGGGGUUACCUGGGGAACACCUGGGGGUUACCUGGGGGUAUCAGGGGUUACCUGGGGAACACCUGGGGGUACCUGAGGAUACCUGGGGAACACCUGGGAAACACCUGGGGGUUACCUGGGGGUUACCUGGGGUUACCUGGGGUCACCUGGGGAACACCUGGGGUUACCUGGGGAACACCAGGGGGUAGCUGGGGGUUACCUGGGGGUACCUGGGGUUACCUGGAGGUUACCUGGGGGUGCCGGGUUACCUGUCCUGACGAGCUCAGGUGUUGCAGACUCUCUGGAGCCGGAGCCGCCUC